rnacentral:rRNA from 1 species
UACGUAGGUGGCAAGCGUUAUCCGGAUUUAUUGGGCGUAAAGGGAACGCAGGCGGUCUUUUAAGUCUGAUGUGAAAGCCUUCGGCUUAACCGGAGUAGUGCAUUGGAAACUGUUGGUCUUGAGUAUCGGAGAGGCAGGCGGAAUUCCUAGUGUAGCGGUGAAAUGCGUAGAUAUUAGGAGGAACACCAGUGGCGAAGGCGGCCUGCUGGACGACAACUGACGGUGAGGCGCGAAAGCGUGGGGAGCAAACAGG